rnacentral:rRNA from 1 species
UACGUAGGGCGCAAGCGUUGUCCGGAAUCACUGGGCGUAAAGGGCGCGUAGGCGGCGCGGGCAGUCAACGGUGAAAGCUUGGGGCUCAACCCCGAGUCGGCCGUCGAUACUCCCGUGCUUGAGCACUGUAGAGGCAGGUGGAAUUCCGGGUGUAGCGGUGGAAUGCGUAGAGAUCCGGAAGAACACCGGUGGCGAAGGCGGCCUGCUGGGCAGUAGCUGACGCUGAGGCGCGACAGCUUGGGGAGCAAACAGG